UGUAAGCAAGUGUUCAGGGAUCAGGAGCGGGCAGUGCCGAAGCCACCAGGAGCAGGCGUCAUUUUAAAAUCAUCAACAAGAAAUUUUUACAAGUUAGGUUAUGGGCAAUCAAUCGCAAGCAAAUGACUGCAGGAUGUGCCCUGGGGGGAGCCGAGUGAGAGGGACAGGGCUGCGGCUCGCUGGCAUCCACACUAUGCCUCCACCCCUCUUCUCUCCCGAUGCCUCCAAGACCAGCAUGACUCCUGGAACUAGUUUGUUCUGUGGCGACUACUGGGAAGAUGACAGUGUUCUCAGAUCCUGACGAUUCAAACUGAAUGAUAAUAUUUGAAGAUUGAACACCUCUUUGGUGCUUUUACUCCUUUGAGCUGGCACCAGGCCCAGGGCUGGACAUUCACAAGGUGCUCACGAAAUAGGAGCCGAGAGAAGCUCUGAGGAUGGAACAAAUCCAUGGUGUGCAAAGUCAGUGCCAAGUGAAGGCAUCUCUGAAGACAAGAAGCAUCUUCUUCCUCUCCCCAAAGCAAGGUGGUCCAGUGGGGGAAGGGGAAAUUGGAGAGAUUAUGUACCAGGAAACACUAUUGUCUGACUAAACCAAAGAUUUGGAAACCAUUUCACAGUUUCAUUGAUUUAUCAAAGCAUUUUUAAUUUGGAACCGACUUUCCCCUUUUCUAUUUUCAUUCUUAAUUUUCACAUGAAGUGAGAAAGUCUAUUUUAAAAUCAUUUCAAAAUUUCCUAACACAUUCUAGAAGCUAUUUUGGAGAAGUGGCAUUCCCAGUAGAAUAAAGUAGAUUGAGUAAAUGCUAAAUGUGCAUAUUAAAAAAGAGAUUGCU